AUUGAACGCUGGCGGCAUGCCUUACACAUGCAAGUCGAACGGCAGCACGGGAGCAAUCCUGGUGGCGAGUGGCGAACGGGUGAGUAAUAUAUCGGAACGUGCCCAGUCGUGGGGGAUAACGCAGCGAAAGCUGUGCUAAUACCGCAUACGAUCUACGGAUGAAAGCGGGGGAUCGCAAGACCUCGCGCGAUUGGAGCGGCCGAUAUCAGAUUAGCUAGUUGGUGAGGUAAAGGCUCACCAAGGCGACGAUCUGUAGCUGGUCUGAGAGGACGACCAGCCACACUGGAACUGAGACACGGUCCAGACUCCUACGGGAGGCAGCAGUGGGGAAUUUUGGACAAUGGGCGAAAGCCUGAUCCAGCAAUGCCGCGUGCAGGAUGAAGGCCUUCGGGUUGUAAACUGCUUUUGUACGGAACGAAACGGUGAGCUCUAAUACAGUUUGCUAAUGACGGUACCGUAAGAAUAAGCACCGGCUAACUACGUGCCAGCAGCAGCCGCGG
rnacentral:rRNA from 1 species